ACGAGUGGCGGACGGGUGAGUAACACGUGGGUAACCUGCCCUUAAGUGGGGGAUAACAUUUGGAAACAGAUGCUAAUACCGCAUAAAUCCAAGAACCGCAUGGUUCUUGGCUGAAAGAUGGCGUAAGCUAUCGCUUUUGGAUGGACCCGCGGCGUAUUAGCUAGUUGGUGAGGUAACGGCUCACCAAGGCAAUGAUACGUAGCCGAACUGAGAGGUUGAUCGGCCACAUUGGGACUGAGACACGGCCCAAACUCCUACGGGAGGCAGCAGUAGGGAAUCUUCCACAAUGGACGCAAGUCUGAUGGAGCAACGCCGCGUGAGUGAAGAAGGCUUUCGGGUCGUAAAACUCUGUUGUUGGAGAAGAAUGGUCGGCAGAGUAACUGUUGUCGGCGUGACGGUAUCCAACCAGAAAGCCACGGCUAACUACGUGCCAGCAGCCGCGGUAAUACGUAGGUGGCAAGCGUUAUCCGGAUUUAUUGGGCGUAAAGCGAGCGCAGGCGGUUUUUUAAGUCUGAUGUGAAAGCCCUCGGCUUAACCGAGGAAGUGCAUCGGAAACUGGGAAACUUGAGUGCAGAAGAGGACAGUGGAACUCCAUGUGUAGCGGUGAAAUGCGUAGAUAUAUGGAAGAACACCAGUGGCGAAGGCGGCUGUCUGGUCUGUAACUGACGCUGAGGCUCGAAAGCAUGGGUAGCGAACAGGAUUAGAUACCCUGGUAGUCCAUGCCGUAAACGAUGAAUGCUAGGUGUUGGAGGGUUUCCGCCCUUCAGUGCCGCAGCUAACGCAUUAAGCAUUCCGCCUGGGGAGUACGACCGCAAGGUUGAAACUCAAAGGAAUUGACGGGGGCCCGCACAAGCGGUGGAGCAUGUGGUUUAAUUCGAAGCAACGCGAAGAACCUUACCAGGUCUUGACAUCUUUUGAUCACCUGAGAGAUCAGGUUUCCCCUUCGGGGGCAAAAUGACAGGUGGUGCAUGGUUGUCGUCAGCUCGUGUCGUGAGAUGUUGGGUUAAGUCCCGCAACGAGCGCAACCCUUAUGACUAGUUGCCAGCAUUUAGUUGGGCACUCUAGUAAGACUGCCGGUGACAAACCGGAGGAAGGUGGGGAUGACGUCAAAUCAUCAUGCCCCUUAUGACCUGGGCUACACACGUGCUACAAUGGAUGGUACAACGAGUUGCGAGACCGCGAGGUCAAGCUAAUCUCUUAAAGCCAUUCUCAGUUCGGACUGUAGGCUGCAACUCGCCUACACGAAGUCGGAAUCGCUAGUAAUCGCGGAUCAGCACGCCGCGGUGAAUACGUUCCCGGGCCUUGUACACACCGCCCGUCACACCAUGAGAGUUUGUAACACCCGAAGCCGGUGGCGUAACCCUUUUAGGGAGCGAGCCGUCUAAGGUGGGACAAAUGAUUAGGGUGAAGUCGUAACAAGGUAGCCGUAGGAGAACCUGCGGCUGGAUCACCUCCUUUCU
rnacentral:rRNA from 2 species